rnacentral:rRNA from 1 species
UGCGUAGGUGGUUUCUUAAGUCAGAGGUGAAAGGCUACGGCUCAACCGUAGUAGGCCUUUGAAACUGGGAAACUUGAGUGCAGGAGAGGAGAGUGGAAUUCCUAGUGUAGCGGUGAAAUGCGUAGAUAUUAGGAGGAACACCAGUUGCGAAGGCGGCUCUCUGGACUGUAACUGACACUGAGGCACGAAAGCGUGGGGAGCAAACA